rnacentral:piRNA from 1 species
GCAGUGAAGACUCGCGGAUGUGGAGGCC